rnacentral:rRNA from 1 species
AGAGUUUGAUCAUGGCUCAGGACGAACGCUGGCGGCGUGCUUAACACAUGCAAGUCGAACGGAAAGGCCCUUUCGGGGGUACUCGAGUGGCGAACGGGUGAGUAACACGUGGGUGAUCUGCCCUGCACUUCGGGAUAAGCUUGGGAAACUGGGUCUAAUACCGGAUAGGACUACGAAUCGCAUGGUUUGUGGUGGAAAGCUUUUGCGGUGUGGGAUGGGCCCGCGGCCUAUCAGCUUGUUGGUGGGGUGAUGGCCUACCAAGGCGACGACGGGUAGCCGGCCUGAGAGGGUGUCCGGCCACACUGGGACUGAGAUACGGCCCAGACUCCUACGGGAGGCAGCAGUGGGGAAUAUUGCACAAUGGGCGCAAGCCUGAUGCAGCGACGCCGCGUGGGGGAUGACGGCCUUCGGGUUGUAAACCUCUUUCACCAUCGGCGAAGCCCAUGAUUUUUGUUGUGGGUGACGGUAGGUGGAGAAGAAGCACCGGCCAACUACGUGCCAGCCGCCGCGGUAAUAC